rnacentral:rRNA from 1 species
AUUGAACGCUGGCGGCAGGCCUAACACAUGCAAGUCGAACGAGUGGCGGACGGGUGAGUAAUGUUUGGGAAAAUGCCCGAGGGAGGGGGAUAACUAACGGAAAAGGUAGCUACUACCGCAUAACAUCGGAUGUUGCCAGAUGGGAUUAGCUUGUGGGUGAGGUAACGGCUCACCUAGGCGACGAUCCCUAGCUGGUCUGAGAGGAUGACCAGCCACACUGGAACUGAGACACGGUCCCGACUCCUACGUGAGGCAGCAGUGGGGAAUAUUGCACAAUCGGCGCAAGCCUGACGCAGACAUGCCGCGUGUAUGAAGAAGGCCUUCGGGUUGUAAAGUACUUUCAGCGGUGAGGCGUUACCCGCAGAAGAAGCACCGGCUAACUCCGUGCCAGCAGCCGCGGUAAUAC